GGCCUGGCCGGGCGGUCCGCUUAACAGCGUGUACUGUCUGGCUGGGUCUUACCUCUUGGUGAGCUGGCGUGCCCUUUACUGGUGUGCGUCGGGGAACCAGGACUUUUACCUUGAGAAAAUUAGAGUGUUUAAAGCAGGCUAACGCCUGGAUACAUUAGCAUGGAAUAAUGAAAUAGGACGAGCGAUCCUAUUUUGUUGGUUUCUAGAGUCGCCGUA
rnacentral:rRNA from 1 species